AUUGAACGCUAGCGGCAGGCCUAACACAUGCAAGUCGAACGAGUGGCGGACGGGUGAGUAAUGUCUGGGAAACUGCCCGAUGGAGGGGGAUAACUACUGGAAACGGUAGCUAAUACCGCAUACCAUCGGAUGUGCCCAGAUGGGAUUAGCUAGGAGGGGGGGUAAUGGCUCACCUAGGCGACGAUCCCUAGAUGGUCUGAGAGGAUGACCAGCCAAAAUGGAACUGAGACACGGUCCAUACCCCUACGGGAUGGAGGAGUGGGGAAUAUUGCACAAUGGGCGCAAGCCUGAUGCAGCCAUGCCGCGUGUAUGAAGAAGGCCUUCGGGUUGUAAAGUACUUUCAGCGAGGAGGCGUUACUCGCAGAAGAAGCACCGGCUAACUCCGUGCCAGCAGCCGCGGUAAUAC
rnacentral:rRNA from 1 species